ACGCUUUAUUUCAGGUUGAUAGAAAAUGUCUAAGAAUGAGAACUGGCAGUAUCUGAAUAAACUCUUUCAUUAAAGGUACUAUCUUACUGGAUUUCACCCAAAUAAACUUCAUAAAAAAAACACUUCAUACUUCGUGAGGUGGUCUUACACAAAUGCAAAAUUCUUGUAGCAAGUCUGCCAACAAGCCGUCAACAAGUUGUGUUCGCACUGCUUGUCCCAAGUUGUCAACGAGUUUGGAAAAAGCUGAUAACAAUUUGUAACAACCUUGUUGAUAUUAUCAGACUUCUUGCAAAGUUUGUUCCUGCAAGUCCGACACAGUCAUGAUAUAUACAACCUCGUAUCGUCAACCUUGUAACAUUCUUGUUAUAUCGUGACUGUAUAUCAGACUUGUUAGUACAACCUUGUAACAAGUCUGAUAAUG